AAGAAGGCCACUCAUGGCUGAGAAAUCAAAUGGAUUGGGUGGGGCAAACACAGCAGCUCCAGGCAUAGUGUCAGGAGAAGCUCCAGCCUGUGCUGGUUUUGACUCCCCAGUGGAAGUUUCUGGUUUUGAAGUUUUGUUCUCAGUGGCAGAUGUUUCUGGUUUUGAACUUUUGCUCUCCUUUGUCAAAGUCGAUUUCUCAUCUAACAAAGAAAAGGGGAACAUAAACAACAGCCAAACUUAUGAAUUCACUAACUUCACAACCAAGCCAUAUCGGGAGUCAUCAACAUUAAUGAAUCCCUAAUACAAUUACUAGACCUAAA
rnacentral:lncRNA from 1 species